GAAAUAGAACCUGAAACCGUGUACGUACAAGCAGUAGGAGCAGGCUUUGUCCUGUGACUGCGUACCUUUUGUAUAAUGGGUCAGCGACUUAUAUUCAGUGGCAAGGUUAACCAUCUAGGGGAGCCGUAGGGAAACCGAGUCUUAACUGGGCGUUCAGUCUCUGGAUAUAGACCCGAAACCAGGUGAUCUAGCCAUGGGCAGGUUGAAGGUUGAGUAACAUCAACUGGAGGACCGAACCGACUAAUGUUGAAAAAUUAGCGGAUGACUUGUGGCUAGGGGUGAAAGGCCAAUCAAACCUGGAGAUAGCUGGUUCUCCCCGAAAGCUAUUUAGGUAGCGCCUCGGACGAAUACUACUGGGGGUA
rnacentral:rRNA from 1 species